GAGGAAAAAAAAAAAAAAAAAAAAAAAAAAAAAAAAAAAAAA
rnacentral:ribozyme from 13 species